AGGAAUAUUGGUCAAUGGACGAGAGUCUGAACCAGCCAAGUAGCGUGAAGGAUGACUGCCCUAUGGGUUGUAAACUUCUUUUAUACGGGAAUAAAGUGAGGCACGUGUGCCUUUUUGUAUGUACCGUAUGAAUAAGGAUCGGCUAACUCCGUGCCAGCAGCCGCGGUAAUACGGAGGAUCCGAGCGUUAUCCGGAUUUAUUGGGUUUAAAGGGAGCGUAGGCGGACGCUUAAGUCAGUUGUGAAAGUUUGCGGCUCAACCGUAAAAUUGCAGUUGAUACUGAGUGUCUUGAGUACAGUAGAGGCAGGCGGAAUUCGUGGUGUAGCGGUGAAAUGCUUAGAUAUCACGAAGAACUCCGAUUGCGAAGGCAGCUUGCUGGACUGUAACUGACGCUGAUGCUCGAAAGUGUGGGUAUCAAACAGGAUUAGAUACCCUGGUAGUCCACACAGUAAACGAUGAAUACUCGCUGUUUGCGAUAUACAGUAAGCGGCCAAGCGAAAGCGUUAAGUAUUCCACCUGGGGAGUACGCCGGCAACGGUGAAACUCAAAGGAAUUGACGGGGGCCCGCACAAGCGGAGGAACAUGUGGUUUAAUUCGAUGAUACGCGAGGAACCUUACCCGGGCUUGAAUUGCAACUGAAUGAUGUGGAGACAUGUCAGCCGCAAGGCAGUUGUGAAGGUGCUGCAUGGUUGUCGUCAGCUCGUGCCGUGAGGUGUCGGCUUAAGUACCAUAACGAGCGCAACCCUUAUCGAUAGUUACCAUCAGGUUAUGCUGGGGACUCUGUCGAGACUGCCGUCGUAAGAUGUAAGGAAGGUGGGGAUGACGUCAAAUCAGCACGGCCCUUACGUCCGGGGCUACACACGUGUUACAAUGGGGGGUACAGAAGGCAGCUACACGGCGACGUGAUGCUAAUCCCUAAAGCCUCUCUCAGUUCGGAUUGGAGUCUGCAACCCGACUCCAUGAAGCUGGAUUCGCUAGUAAUCGCGCAUCAGCCACGGCGCGGUGAAUACGUUCCCG
rnacentral:rRNA from 1 species